AUAUACAAACUCAUACGUGUGUCGAGCAGAUGUAGAGAUAGAUAGUUAGA
rnacentral:guide_RNA from 1 species